GACGAACGCUGGCGGCGUGCCUAACACAUGCAAGUCGAGCGAAGUGAGUACUACGGUACGAACUUAGCGGCGGACGGGUGAGUAACGCGUGGACAAUCUACCCUGUAGACUGGAAUAACACCUCGAAAGGGGCGCUAAUACCGGAUAAUGUCGAGAAGCGGCAUCGCUUUUCGACGAAGGGGGAGAAUCCGCUAUCGGAUGAGUCCGCGUCCUAUUAGCAAGUUGGCGGGGUAAAAGCCCACCCAGGCGACGAUGGGUAGCCGGCCGGGGGGGGUGAACGGCGACACUGGAACUGAGACACGGUCCAGACUCCUACGGGAGGGAGCAGUGCGGAAUAAUGUGCAAUGGCGGAAACCCUGACAUAGCUACGCCGCGUGAGUGAAGAAGGCCUUCGGGUCGUAAAGCUCAAUAGUAUGGGAAGAGAGUGACGGUACCAUACGAAAGCCCCGGCUAACUACGUGCCAGCCGCCGCUGUAAAAC
rnacentral:rRNA from 1 species